UGCAAGUCGAGCGGUAAGGCCCUUCGGGGUACACGAGCGGCGAACGGGUGAGUAACACGUGGGUGAUCUGCCCUGUACUUCGGGAUAAGCCUGGGAAACUGGGGCUAAUACCGGAUAUGACCUUACAUCGCAUGGUGUUUGGUGGAAAGAUUUAUCGGUACAGGAUGGGCACGCGGCCUAUCAGCUUGUUGGUGGGGUAAUGGCCUACCAAGGCGACGACGGGUAGCCGGCCUGAGAGGGCGACCGGCCACACUGGGACUGAGACACGGCCCAGACUCCUACGGGAGGCAGCAGUGGGGAAUAUUGCACAAUGGGCGAAAGCCUGAUGCAGCGACGCCGCGUGAGGGAUGACGGCCUUCGGGUUGUAAACCUCUUUCGACAGGGACGAAGCGCAAGUGACGGUACCUGUAGAAGAAGCACCGGCCAACUACGUGCCAGCAGCCGCGGUAAUACGUAGGGUGCGAGCGUUGUCCGGAAUUAUUGGGCGUAAAGAGAUUGUAGGCGGUUUGUCGCGUCGUCCGUGAAAACUUGGGGCUCAACCCCAAGCUUGCGGGCGAUACGGGCAGACUUGAGUACUGCAGGGGAGACUGGAAUUCCUGGUGUAGCGGUGAAAUGCGCAGAUAUCAGGAGGAACACCGGUGGCGAAGGCGGGUCUCUGGGCAGUAACUGACGCUGAGAAGCGAAAGCGUGGGUAGCGAACAGGAUUAGAUACCCUGGUAGUCCACGCCGUAAACGGUGGGCGCUAGGUGUGGGUUUCCUUCCACGGGAUCGUGCCGUAGCUAACGCAUUAAGCGCCCCGCGUGGGGAGUACGGCCGCAAGACUAGA
rnacentral:rRNA from 1 species